AGUGAACGCUGGCGGUAGGCCUAACACAUGCAAGUCGAACGGCAGCACAGUAAGAGCUUGCUCUUACGGGUGGCGAGUGGCGGACGGGUGAGGAAUACAUCGGAAUCUACUUUUUCGUGGGGGAUAACGUAGGGAAACUUACGCUAAUACCGCAUACGACCUACGGGUGAAAGCAGGGGAUCUUCGGACCUUGCGCGAUUGAAUGAGCCGAUGUCGGAUUAGCUAGUUGGCGGGGUAAAGGCCCACCAAGGCGACGAUCCGUAGCUGGUCUGGGAGGAUGAUCAGCCACACUGGAACUGAGACACGGUCCAGACUCCUACGGGAGGAAGCAGUGGGGAAUAUUGGACAAUGGGCGCAAGCCUGAUCCAGCCAUACCGCGUGGGUGAAGAAGGCCUUCGGGUUGUAAAGCCCUUUUGUUGGGAAAGAAAAGCAGCAGGUUAAUACCCCGCUGUUCUGACGGUACCCAAAGAAUAAGCACCGGCUAACUUCGUG
rnacentral:rRNA from 1 species